GGCCAGGUUCCCAGAGAAUACGAAGCUGUGAGUGGUGCAGGCCAAGGGACGGUGGGGAACUGAAGGCAGGGCUCCCUGAGAAAUGAGACUUCAAUAGCGGACAUCCCUGACAAAGCAUCUUCACCAAGAACAGUCAGGUGUGGCUGGUGGGGUGCUGAAGUGGAGACAGGGAGAUUUCCUCAGUUUCAGAGAUGCUGUCUCCCUACUUCCUUGUCUCUUUGGAAAAUCCCUUCUGCUAAUGACUUAUCUCCCUCAGGUGAUAUUCACGUGGCAUGUAGCUAUGUCUCUUAGUCCCAUAUGCUUUGCUUUUCACGCUCUCCCUAAGUGUAUCUCCUCUCCCACUGGUAGGAAGACACUUCACACUCCCUCCAAAGAGAAAGCAUGAAUUUCUUAUCUCCUCUACAAUCCUCCACAAUUUUAUUGUGAUUGUGACAACAGAAGCACAGCUCAUUCUUGUUA
ensembl:lncRNA